rnacentral:rRNA from 1 species
ACGCUCGACACCUACGGGAGGCAGCAGUGGGGAAUAUUGCACAAUGGGGGAAACCCUGAUGCAGCGACGCCGCGUGAGUGAAGAAGUAUUUCGGUAUGUAAAGCUCUAUCAGCAGGGAAGAAAAUGACGGUACCUGACUAAGAAGCCCCGGCUAACUACGUGCCGGCAGCCGCGGUAAUCUGAGCGGGCUGGCAAGGC